rnacentral:tRNA from 1 species
GAAGGUGAAGCUCAGUGCUAGAGCGCGUGCUUAGCAUGCCUGACGUCCCGGGUUCAAGCCCCAGCACCGCCA